rnacentral:rRNA from 1 species
GAUGAACGCUGGCGGCGUGCCUAACACAUGCGAGUCGAACGAAGCACCUUACCUGAUUCUUCGGAUGAAAGUUUGGUGACUGAGUGGCGGACGGGUGAGUAACGCGUGGGUAACCUGCCCUGUACAGGGGGAUAACAGCUGGAAACGGCUGCUAAUACCGCAUAAGCGCACGAGGAGACAUCUCCUUGUGUGAAAAACUCCGGUGGUACAGGAUGGGCCCGCGUCUGAUUAGCUGGUUGGCAGGGUAACGGCCUACCAAGGCAACGAUCAGUAGCCGGUCUGAGAGGAUGAACGGCCACAUUGGAACUGAGACACGGUCCAAACUCCUACGGGAGGCAGCAGUGGGGAAUAUUGCACAAUGGGGGAAACCCUGAUGCAGCAACGCCGCGUGAGUGAAGAAGUAUUUCGGUAUGUAAAGCUCUAUCAGCAGGGAAGAUAAUGACGGUACCUGACUAAGAAGCUCCGGCUAAAUACGUG